rnacentral:tRNA from 1 species
GGCUUUGUAGCUCACCUGGUAGAGCGUUUGCCGCCUUGAGGCAUGGUGUUUCUGUCGUUGGUUCAAAUCCAGCUGAAGCCC